rnacentral:rRNA from 1 species
UACGGAGGGUGUGAGCGUUGUCCGGAAUCAUUGGGCGUAAAGGGCGCGUAGGUGGCGGGACAAGCGUGCGGUGAAAGCUCGGGGCUCAACCCCGAGUCGGCCGUGCGAACUGUCUUGCUUGAGCACUGUAGAGGCAGGCGGAAUUCCGGGUGUAGCGGUGGAAUGCGUAGAGAUCCGGAAGAACACCGGUGGCGAAGGCGGCAUCCUGGACCGGUAUUGACGCUGAGGCGCGAAAGCCAGGGGAGCAAACGGG